GUUGACGGGGGCCCGGCACAAGCGGUGGAGCAUGUGGUUUAAUUCGAUGAUACGGCGAGGAACCUUACCUGGGCUCAAAUGUAUGUUGACGUAUUCUGAAAGGGAUACUUCUUCGGACAAUAUACAAGGUGCCGCAUGGUUGUCGUCAGCUCGUGCCGUGAGGUGUCGGGUUAAGUCCCAUAACGAGCGCAACCCCUACCUUAGUUGCCAUCAGGUAAUGCUGGGGACUCUAAAGGAACUGCCUACGCAAGUAGUGAGGAAGGCGGGGAUGACGUCAAAUCAGCACGGCCCUUACGUCCAGGGCUACACACGUGCUACAAUGGCCGAUACAGAGGGCAGCUACCUGGUGACAGGAUGCAAAUCUCCAAAGUCGGUCUCAGUUCGGAUCGGAGUCUGCAACCCGACUCCGUGAAGUUGGAUUCGCUAGUAAUCGUGAAUCAGAAUGUCACGGUGAAUACGUUCCCGGGCCUU
rnacentral:rRNA from 1 species